rnacentral:rRNA from 1 species
AUUGAACGCUGGCGGCAUGCCUUACACAUGCAAGUCGAACGGCAGCGGGGACUUCGGUCCGCCGGCGAGUGGCGAACGGGUGAGUAACGUAUCGGAACGUACCUUUCAGUGGGGGAUAACGUAGCGAAAGUUACGCUAAUACCGCAUAUUCUGUGAGCAGGAAAGCAGGGGAUCGCAAGACCUUGCGCUGAUUGAGCGGCCGAUAUCAGAUUAGCUAGUUGGUGGGGUAAAGGCUCACCAAGGCGACGAUCUGUAGCGGGUCUGAGAGGAUGAUCCGCCACACGGGAACUGAGACACGGUCCAGACUCCUACGGGAGGCAGCAGUGGGGAAUUUUGGACAAUGGGGGCAACCCUGAUCCAGCCAUGCCGCGUGAGUGAAGAAGGCCUUCGGGUUGUAAAGCUCUUUCGGCCGGGAAGAAAUCGUAUGGGUUAAUACCCUGUGCGGAUGACGGUACCGGCAUAAGAAGCACCGGCUAACUACGUGCCAGCAGCCGCCGCGGUAA